CUCACCUGGAUGACCUUCGCCCACGGACUCAGAAGUGAACAGGAACGUCCUCUCGUCCAGUAGGCUCUGGUGCAAACCAUUGAUCUGGCCGUUCAUGGUGCUGCUCGGUGUCGGGUUCGGGAAACGGCGCGUCGGAGAUAGACAAUAGACCAUUGACGGCCUCCAUUGUCCUCUGAAGUCGAUGGUAUGGUUGGAGCUCAUGAACACUUCUGCAAUCCAUUGCAUCCACUGUACCGGGGAUUGGUCUAUACAGCUUCUCCAGAGCCCCAUUGGCUGGCCGUACUCGUUUCCACCUCGCGUGACGGGGACUGAGCAACCGCUCAACAAAUGGAAUUUCUCUCUUAGGGCAAAUCCAUUCAGUAAUUAAGCUAUUUUGUCUGUGCAAAGACAAACAUGAGAUUUUAGCUUGAAAUGUCAAGCAUUUCCACCAAAGACGACUGCAGAGGCAAUGUAGUUAUUUAGGUUAGACAAUAGUCUCAGAAAGAAUUGCCUUUGUUGUCUUCAGUUGCAGAAGCAUAAACACAAGAGGUUAUGCAGAUGCUGGAAAUCUUCAGAAUAAAGUUUAAUAUGACCAGGA